ACGCAUGCGUGCAGGAUCCCUGGGCAUAGUCGCUUGUUCUCCGCCCGCGGUGGACCAGCUGCGUAACGGUUCACACACUGAUGGCGCCUGGAGGUUUGGCGAAAUACUGACAGGAUGCGACGUCAACGGGAGCGCAGGGCCAAGAUACCCUUUAUAUCAAACCGUCUAUCCUGGAGCAGAAAAAUCCUGUCUUCAUUGCUAUAGCUACAGAUUCAGAAAUGAGCAUGUAACAAAUUCAGGCCAAAGAGAGGCAAUGGAAAUCAGAGAAACACUGUUCCUGAAAGCUUCUGUCACUCAAGAAUCCAUGAAACAUUCAUGAACUUCACAUCAGAGCUAGAGCAUAUUUGCCUGCCACAGUUAGUUUUGUGUUUCCAUGGAAUUUGAGCAAAACUGAUGCACUUGUCUCCCAGGAUUAAUCCAUACAAGUCACCUCUAAAAUUAUCUUUUCCCAUUCGUUGACUGAGCAAAAUGGACUUCAAGGACCUAAAGGAGGUUAAAUACCACAAGAUGGAGGAGCUUGAGUCUCUGAAUCAUUGUGUGUGAAGUCAUCUGCCAAUUACAUAAAUUGAAUUCUUGGUGAGUGUGAAGUACACAAGUAGCCAUGUAAUUUUGGAAUGAAUGUUACAGAAAUUUACUUACCCUGCCUAAUACACUCCUACCAUUUCAAUUAAUUAGUUCUACUGUAUGUUUAAUGGGAUGAAAUGUAUGUAUAUGUUUUUAUUCUCUAUUUUCUAUUGUUAUGCAUAGCAUAUAAAUUUCUAACAUAAGCGUAACUAUUGAGUCCUUUUAACAUUGUUCCAUAUGGUUAUGUAACAACAUUUUAAUGCUUAAUAGUAAUGAAGAAAGGAGUUCACAGUCAUAGUUUAUCUUGUUCUUAAGUUUUCAUCUAUGUAUUCAAGUGACGGGAUGCUAACUCCAGUUCUUGCCACAUAAAGUGCAAUAUCUUUAAAAGUUACUUGAUCAACCAAUUGUACUUCUAAAUCACUUAGUGGUUUUAUCUGAAUAAAAGAUGUGUGUGUC
ensembl:lncRNA POT1-AS1 POT1 antisense RNA 1